AUUGAACGCUGGCGGCAGGCCUAACACAUGCAAGUCGAGCGGCAGCGGGAAAGUAGCUUGCUACUUUUGCCGGCGAGCGGCGGACGGGUGAGUAAUGCCUGGGGAUCUGCCCAGUCGAGGGGGAUAACUACUGGAAACGGUAGCUAAUACCGCAUACGCCCUACGGGGGAAAGCAGGGGACCUUCGGGCCUUGCGCGAUUGGAUGAACCCAGGAGGGAUUAGCUAGUUGGUGAGGUAAUGGCUCACCAAGGCGACGAUCCCUAGCUGGUCUGAGAGGAUGAACAGCCACACUGGAACUGAGACACGGUCCAGACUCCUACGGGAGGCAGCAGUGGGGAAUAUUGCACAAUGGGGGAAACCCUGAUGCAGCCAUGCCGCGUGUGUGAAGAAGGCCUUCGGGUUGUAAAGCACUUUCAGCGAGGAGGAAAGGUUGGUAGCUAAUAACUGCCAGCUGUGACGUUACUCGCAGAAGAAGCACCGGCUAACUCCGUGCCAGCAGCCGCCGUAA
rnacentral:rRNA from 1 species